AGGCUCGUAGCGAUUCUGACGUGCAAAUCGAUCGUCAAAUUUGGGUAUAGGGGCGAAAGACUAAUCGAACUGUCUAGUAGCUGGUUCCCUCCGAAGUUUCCCUCAGGAUAGCUGGAACUUACGGCAGUUUUAUCAGGUAAAGCGAAUGAUUAGAGGUCUUAGGGUUAAAACAACCUUAACCUAUUCUCAAACUUUAAAUUGGUAAGAAGUCCGACUUGCUUAAUUGAAGCCGGACAGUGAAUGCGAGUUCCUAGUGGGCCAUUUUUGGUAAGCAGAACUGGCGAUGCGGGAUGAACCGAACGCGCGGUUAAGGUGCCAAAGUCGACGCUCAUCAGACCCCACAAAAGGUGUUGGUUGCUCUAGACAGCAGGACGGUGGCCAUGGAAGUUGGAAUCCGCUAAGGAGUGUGUAACAACUCACCUGCCGAAGCAACUAGCCCUGAAAAUGGAUGGCGCUCAAGCGUCGCACCUAUACCGUGCCGUCGGAGCAGAUGCGAAGCUCCGACGAGUAGGAGGGCGUGGGGGUCGUGACGCAGCCUCUGGCGCGAGCCUGGGUGAAACGGCCUCCAGUGCAGAUCUUGGUGGUAGUAGCAAAUAUUCAAAUGAGAGCUUUGAAGACCGAAGUGGAGAAAGGUUCCAUGUGAACAGCAGUUGGACAUGGGUUAGUCGAUCCUAAGAGAUAGGGAAAUUCCGUUUGCAAGCGCCCGAUCUUGGGCCGCCUAUCGAAAGGGAAUCGGGUUAAUAUUCCCGAACCGGGACGCGGAUAUUGCCGUUCGCGGCAGAUGCGGUAACGCAAACGAACCCGAAGACGCUGGCGGGGGCCCUGGGAAGAGUUCUCUUUUCUUUUUAACGAGCUUUCACCCUGAAAUCAGNUUGCCUGGAGAUAGGGUUUAAUGCUCGGUAAAGCACCACACUUCUUGUGGUGUCCGGUGCGCUCUCGACGACCCUUGAAAAUUCGGGGAAGACA
rnacentral:ncRNA from 1 species